rnacentral:rRNA from 1 species
GACGAACGCUGGCGGCGUGCUUAACACAUGCAAGUCGAACGGGAACCUUUAUUUCGGUAAAGGUGAGAGUGGCAAACGGGUGAGUAACACGUAGGCAACCUGCCGACAGGAUGGGGACAACAUUCCGAAAGGAAUGCUAAUACCGAAUGAAGUCGAGGGAAGGCAUCUUCCUUUGAUGAAAGAUGGCCUCUGAAUAUGCUAUCGCCUGUCGAUGGGCCUGCGUCUGAUUAGCCAGUUGGCGGGGUAACGGCCCACCAAAGCGACGAUCAGUAGCCGGUCUGAGAGGAUGAACGGCCACAUUGGGACUGAGACACGGCCCAGACUCCUACGGGAGGCAGCAGUGGGGAAUCUUCCACAAUGGGCGAAAGCCUGAUGGAGCAACGCCGCGUGAGUGAAGAAGGUCUUCGGAUCGUAAAGCUCUGUUGUACGGGACGAAAACCGGGGGUGAGAAUAUUGUCUCCGGGGACG